rnacentral:ncRNA from 1 species
AGUAGUUUUAUUCUUGCUAUAUUAUUCAUUUUUUAUUUGCUUUAUAUGUAAGUUUUUGCGUGAUUUUUCUGUAUCUAUAUGGUUGUGUUUUAGUUAGUUUAUUCGCAUUAUUUACUUUUAUAUAUUUAGGUAACUUAGAUUUAGUAAUAAUUUAUUGUAUCGGUUAAAUUUGUGCCAGCAGCCGCGGUUAUACAUAGGAUACUGGUGAAUAUAUUUGGUUGUAUGUAGUUUUAUUUAUAUUAUUGAAUUUAAUUUAUUUAUUUUUUGGUGAAAUUCUUAAUUUUUGAUUAUUUUUGUUUAUUUGUUUGUAGGCUAUUAAAUCUUUGUUUAAACUAGGAUUAGAUACCCUAUUAUUUUAGAUGUAAAUUUAUUUUUCCUGAGUAGUAUUAGUUAUGUUCUUUAAACUUAAAGAAUUUGGCGGUAUUUCAAUCUAUUCAGAGGAACCUGCUUCGUUAUCGAUAAUCCGCGUUGGACCUUACUUAAUUUUUUGUUUGUAUAUCGCCGUUGGUGUUGAGAAUCUUUUUAGGGUUUAUAAUUCUCUAUAUUUACGAUUAAUGAUUAAUAUCAGGUCAAGGUGCAGCUUUAUUAUUAAGUGUUUAGUGGGUUACAUUUAUAUUUAUUAUUGGAGUGCUGGUUGUAAUUAUUAGUAUGAAAGUGGAUUUGAUUGUAAUUUGUUGAAGAUUGUUUUUAUGAUUUUAGUUCUGGGAUAUGUACACAUCGCCCGUCGCUCUCGUUUAUUUGAGGUGAGAUAAGUCGUAACAUAGUGGCUGUACCGGAAGGUGCGGCUAGAAUGAU